rnacentral:rRNA from 1 species
UGGAACCUUGAGUCCUGAAGGGCCGUCGAAGACUACGACGUUGAUAGGUUGGGUGUGUAAGCGCUGUGAGGCGUUGAGCUAACCAAUACUAAUUGCCCGUGAGGCUUGACCAU